AAGGCUUGACAUGAACCGGAAAUACCUGGAAACAGGUGCCCCGCUUGCGGUCGGUUUACAGGUGGUGCAUGGUUGUCGUCAGCUCGUGUCGUGAGAUGUUGGGUUAAGUCCCGCAACGAGCGCAACCCUCGUUCUAUGUUGCCAGCGCGUUAUGGCGGGGACUCAUAGGAGACUGCCGGGGUCAACUCGGAGGAAGGUGGGGACGACGUCAAAUCAUCAUGCCCCUUAUGUCUUGGGCUUCACGCAUGCUACAAUGGCCGGUACAAAGGGUUGCGAUACUGUGAGGUGGAGCUAAUCCCAAAAAGCCGGUCUCAGUUCGGAUUGGGGUCUGCAACUCGACCCCAUGAAGUCGGAGUCGCUAGUAAUCGCAGAUCAGCAACGCUGCGGUGAAUACGUUCCCGGGCC
rnacentral:rRNA from 1 species